UACGAGGGAGGCGAGCGUUGUUCGGAAUUAUUGGGCGUAAAGAGCGUGUAGGCGGCCAGGUAGGUCUGCUGUGAAAACUCGAGGCUCAACCUCGAGACGUCGGCGGAAACCAUCUGGCUAGAGUCCGGAAGGGGAGAGUGGAAUUCCUGGUGUAGCGGUGAAAUGCGCAGAUAUCAGGAAGAACACCCGUGGCGAAGGCGGCUCUCUGGGACGGUACUGACGCUGAGACGCGAAAGCGUGGGGAGCGAACAGG
rnacentral:rRNA from 1 species